rnacentral:lncRNA from 1 species
UUCUCAAAAUAGAGAGUGGAUUACAUAUGUAUUCUUCGAAGAAUUAUCCUCAAUUUCUAUCCACAAAACUAUUCUUAUUAUCUUUUUGAAAGUACUUUAAGUUGUACUUAAGUAGCCUAAAUGAAUCAUCACAAUACAAUUGAGCAGUGCAUAAAUUUUAUUUCAAAGGCCGUAUCGGGGCGAAUAUAUAGGGGGGAGUGAGGAUAAAUAUUACAAAAUCUUUUUUUUUAAGGUGUCAUAAGUUUCACAAUUUAAAAGAUAAUUCAAAGCCCGUGCAACAUGACAUAGAUAGUUACCUAUGUCAAAUUAUUUUUUAUGUAGUGCAGUAAUUAAUAGCCAUUUAUUGGUGUUUUCGAAACUAGCCAAAAGUAGGGUACUUGAUACACUAGGAGGAGACAUGAUACAACAGGAGAGAACAUUUUGUCAGCAUAAAGUAAAUACUUAUAAUUACAUAUAUAUGAUAAACAAAUAAAACAUUUACAAAAAUAGAGUAUAGUUAAUAAUACAACUUGAGGAUUCAAUGAGAGAAAAUUAUUCUCUCCAUAAAUUGCCUAAAGAUCCUGAGUUCUAAAGCAAUGGAUUAUAGUAAUUAGAAGCCAAAUCAUAAUUCAAGAAUUUGUAGUAUGCAUUUUUCGGAGAAAGAUUUUAUAAGUGAUACAAAUUCUUUUCGAAACCAAAGACGUGGACUUAUCCAAGGAAGAAGACUCAAAAUAAAUGCUGUUCCAACAAUAUUUUCUGAUGUUUCAGAAAGUUCCUGAAAUACCGACUAAAUUAGCUUCUUCAAAUAAUACAUGUGAACGAGAUAAAAGUCGACUUAAUAAUCGAAUUCGCCAAUUUAAAAAAAAAGAUGUAAUCACAAAAAUUAAGAAUAGAGAAGCUGGAUAGAUCAUGCUUUCCAGAAGGCAUUCAGGAAAUAUCGAAUGAAGAAUACACAAUUUAUUUUGCUCUAUAUAAAGACGAUCUUGUUUCUACCAUUUUAUAUGGCUGGAAAGUGGAGAACGAUUUUUCUUACUAGAUUUUCGCCAAUGGUUCCGCUUUAUGUAACAUCGAAGUGAACCAUAUUUGUUCCUCAAAUAUCUUGAGUCGUUUAUUCGACAUUUGCAACAUUUUGGCUGAUCUGAAGUCUAAAUUGUGUGUUGGAAUCGGAGUCGGCGACAUUCAAAAUAAUGGAGUCGGAGUGGGGCAUUUUAUUUACUGACUCCGCAGCCCUGUUAUAUACCUAGUCCAGAGAUAUGACCUUAUUCAUAUAUUAUAUGAAUUUUAUACAAUAUAUUUCUAGUAGAGCAGAAUGCUCGUGGAAUGAAGAUAUGAAUGUAAUUUAAUUAAAUUGA